UGCGCAGGCGGGUUUGUAAGUCAGUGGUGAAAUAUUGUCGCUUAACGAUAAGGUUGCCAUUGAUACUGCAGGUCUUGAGUUUGGUUGAGGUAGGCGGAAUGUGCAGUGUAGCGGUGAAAUGCAUAGAGAUUGCACAGAACACCGAUUGCGAAGGCAGCUUACUAAGCCAAAACUGACGCUGAGGCACGAAAGCGUGGGGAGCGAACAGGAUUAGAUACCCUGGUAGUCC
rnacentral:rRNA from 1 species